rnacentral:rRNA from 1 species
GAUGAACGCUGGCGGCGUGCCUAAUACAUGCAAGUCGAGCGAACGGACGAGACUCUUGCUUCUCUGAUGUUAGCGGCGGACGGGUGAGUAACACGUGGAUAACCUACCUAUAAGACUGGUAUAACUUCGGGAAACCGGCUCUAAUACCGUAUAAUAUUUUGAACCGCAUGGUUCAAAAGUGAAAGACGGUCUUGCUGUCACUUAUAGAUGGAUCUGGGCUGCAUUAGCUAGUUGGUAAGUUAACGGCCUACCAAGGCAACGAUGCAUAGACGAACUGAGAGAGGGAUAGGCCACCCGAGAGGUGGAACGCGGACAAGAGGACUAAGAGACGCAGCAGUAUGGUAUGUUACGCAAUGGGCGAGAACAUGACAGAGCAACGCCGCGUGAGAGAUGAAGACCUUCGGAGCGUGAAAAUCUGUUAUUAGGGAAGAACAGAUGUGUAAGGAAAUGUGGAGAGCGUGACGGUAACUAAUAAGAAAGCAACGGCUAACUACGUG